GUCGAGAAUCUUUCACAAUGGGGGCAACCCUGAUGGAGCGACGCCGCGUGGAGGAUAAGGUCUUCGGAUUGUAAACUCCUGUCAUGCGUGAACAAGGUUGCUUGGUUAAUACCUGGGCAAAUUGAUGGUAACGCAAGAGGAAGAGACGGCUAACUCUGUGCCAGCAGCCGCGGUAAUACAGAGGUCUCAAGCGUUGUUCGGAAUCACUGGGCGUAAAGGGUGCGUAGGUGGCGUGGUAAGUCAGAUGUGAAAGCCCUGGGCUCAACCUCGGAACUGCAUCCGAUACUGCCAUGCUAGAGUACUGGAGAGGUGACUAGAAUUCUCGGUGUAGCAGUGAAAUGCGUAGAUAUCGAGAGGAAGACCAAAGGCGUAGGCAGGUCACUGGACAGUUACUGACACUGAGGCACGAAGGCCAGGGGAGCGAACGGGAUUAGAUACCCGAGUAGUCC
rnacentral:rRNA from 1 species